rnacentral:rRNA from 1 species
AGUCGAACGAAGGCUUCGGCCUUAGUGGCGCACGGGUGCGUAACGCGUGGGAAUCUGCCCUUGGGUUCGGAAUAACAGUGAGAAAUUACUGCUAAUACCGGAUGAUGACUUCGGUCCAAAGAUUUAUCGCCCAAGGAUGAGCCCGCGUAAGAUUAGCUAGUUGGUGAGGUAAAGGCUCACCAAGGCGACGAUCUUUAGCUGGUCUGAGAGGAUGAUCAGCCACACUGGGACUGAGACACGGCCCAGACUCCUACGGGAGGCAGCAGUGGGGAAUAUUGGACAAUGGGCGAAAGCCUGAUCCAGCAAUGCCGCGUGAGUGAUGAAGGCCUUAGGGUUGUAAAGCUCUUUUACCAGGGAUGAUAAUGACAGUACCUGGAGAAUAAGCUCCGGCUAACUCCGUGCCAGCAGCCGCGGUAAUACGGAGGGAGCUAGCGUUGUUCGGAAUUACUGGGCGUAAAGCGCACGUAGGCGGCCAUUCAAGUCAGAGGUGAAAGCCCGGGGCUCAACCCCGGAACUGCCUUUGAAACUAGAUGGCUUGAAUCUUGGAGAGGCGAGUGGAAUUCCGAGUGUAGAGGUGAAAUUCGUAGAUAUUCGGAAGAACACCAGUGGCGAAGGCGACUCGCUGGACAA